UACGUAGGGGGCUAGCGUUGUCCGGAAUUAUUGGGCGUAAAGAGCGUGUAGGUGGUCCGGUAAGUCCGCUGUGAAAGUCAAGGGCUCAACCCUUGAAAGCCGGUGGGUACUGUCGGACUAGAGUACGGAAGAGGCGAGUGGAAUUCCUGGUGUAGCGGUGAAAUGCGCAGAUAUCAGGAGGAACACCAAUUGCGAAGGCAGCUCGCUGGGACGUUACUGACACUGAGACGCGAAAGCGUGGGGAGCGAACAGG
rnacentral:rRNA from 1 species